AUGAACGCUGGCGACGUGGAUAAGGCAUGCAAGUCAAGGGGGCCCGCAAGGGCAACCGGCAGACGAGGUAGUAAUACGUAGGUACGAACCUUUUAGUUGGGUAUAGCUCGUCGAAAGGCGGGGUAAUCCUCAAUAGUCCCUUCGGGGUAAAGUCGCAAGACGCUAAGAGAUCGGCCUGCGGGGUAUCAGCUAGUUGGUAAGGUAACGGCUUACCAAGGCAACGACGCCUAGGGGAGGUGAGAGCCUGACCCCCACCGAUGGUACUGAGAUACGGACCAUACACCUACGGGUGGCUGCAGUCGAGAAUCUUCCGCAAUGGGCGAAAGCCUGACGGAGCGACGUCGCGUGAUUGAUGAAGUUCCACUGGAAUGUAAAAAUCUUUUAUAGAGGAGAAAGCCGGAUUUAUCCGGUGUGAUAGUACUCUAUGAAUAAGGGGUUGCUAAACUCGU
rnacentral:rRNA from 1 species